CGGUGUUUUUAGACUGUGCUCUGGGGGACUUCACGAGCGGGAUCUUUCUUGUCCUGGUUCUAACGAGACGCAAUGAUUGUGGAUCGCGUCGGGGUCCAUAGCCAUUUCCAAAUCGUGAGAAUCCGUAGCACUUCCAGGGAUCGAAGGGCUUUCCUUUGAUUGCCUCGGUUCGUUGACCUUUCCAUAUCCAGGCGAUGAUUCAUUUCACAGCUGUG
rnacentral:lncRNA from 1 species